ACUUCAAAAAGUCCAGUGUUGAAGCAGUUCUGAAUUGAGAUCUCAUAAUUCCCAAGGACAUAGCAAUGAGGCCCAUCCAGCAACACACAAAGAAGAACAGCCUUUACAGGCUAGGAUCCACUACAUAUAGGAAUCUCUUUCAUUGAAAUCAACAGAGCUCAAGAGCGCCUGCAUUUGGAGAAGAGCCUGGGAAACAGCUGUUCAAGCACUGGGUGCAUUCUAGUCUCAGCCACAGAGUUUUCCUACUUGGUGCCUCGUUGUCUGCUCUUCAGAUUUCUCUCUUCAAUUCCAAGCACGUCUUAUGUAAACAAUAGUGUCUCUUACAGUGGAUGUCAUGGUGUGCUACUUGGAUCUCAUAGCUGAACUCCUUCCAAGAAUUGCCUUAAGUCGUUGGGAGCCACCUUGCCUGAGUUUAUGGCUCCAGGUGAAGAUGAAACAGCUGUGGAAGUGUCAUCCAAGAUUGGCCAGAGGGACCCUCAUAUCCCCAGGACCUGCUGCAGAAGUCAUUUCUCACAGACUUAAGUUGCCUCUGAUCUGUCCGCUAUCCCACUUAGAGAGCAGAAGUCAAAAGGAAAGAGAGAGAGAAGCCACUGUAACAAAAACAUUCUGUAUUUUAAAGUCAGAAGCAAAUAUCUUUAUAUCCUUUUUCUUUUUUUAAGAUGUUGAUAAGAACACAACAUGAGAUCUAUCCUCUUCAUAAAUUUGUAAUAAAUAAAUAAUUAUUUACUUAUAUUUUAUUUAU
rnacentral:lncRNA from 13 species